CAGCCGCCACGGUAAUACGAAGGGGGCUAGCGUUGUUCGGAUUUACUGGGCGUAAAGGGCGCGUAGGCGGACUGAUAAGUCAGGGGUGAAAUCCCAAGGCUCAACCUUGGAACUGCCUUUGAUACUGUUUGUCUUGAGUUCGAGAGAGGUAAGUGGAACCGCGAGUGUAGAGGUGAAAUUCGUAGAUAUUCGCAAGAACACCAGUGGCGAAGGCGGCUUACUGGCUCGAAACUGACGCUGAGGCGCGAAAGCGUGGGGAGCAAACAGGAUUAGAGACCCCGGUAGUCCCUGUCUCUUAUAC
rnacentral:rRNA from 1 species